GUUUAGUGGGUGACACUGGUGGUAGGGGGAUGGUUGGACCAGAUGACCUUGGAGCGCUUUUCCAACCUUAUUGAUUCUAUGAUUCUAUCCACCAGCACAGCCCAUUUUAACGUUCUCCUGUUGGGCUGUCCCCACCCAGGAGGGGGAAGGGGGUGCUAUGCCACCAUCUAACCCCGAGCUUCCUUCUUCCUGUGACUCAAGAGCCUCCCUUCAGGCCAGUGGAGGCAGCAAUGAACUCAUGGCCAGGCUGCACCGUGCUGUGACCCCACACCAGGAGCAGAGAGGGCUCCCGGGUCAAACGAAACGGUGCGUGUACAGGGAAAUAAGGCCCCAGGGGAGCCUUGUCCUUGAGCCUUUAUCCUCUUGCCACCUGAAUGAAUUCCCUGAAGACUUCAGCUCAAGCCGUGCUCAGCUCCUUUAUCAUUUACGUCCCUUUUCCAUCCUGUUUGUUCCGUCAGCCAGAUCUUUCGCUGUGGGUAUCUGACCCGGUUUCUCUCAUUUCCGUGAAGAUCGGCCAAGUCUCCCAGGCUGGGGAAGCGGGUCACUGCGUGUGGCGUAGGCCGGGGCUUUGGCAGCAGGAGUCCUUCCCUCUUUCCUAGCUGAGAAGCCUUCCUGCUGACACGUGGAGCUGCCUUUCCACCUCCCCGGACGGUCGCCGGCUUCCGCAGGAGGAACGUCGGUAAGCGGUGUGAGGAAUGGGAGGCUCUAGUGACUCAACAGCUGUGUGAAGCGCGCCUAAGUGCCGAGUGUGUUGACUGGAUUAGAAGCAGAGAAACGGAACCUGAUAAGGACAACUGUGAUGCUCUGCGUGUUGGUAGGAACAAGCAACAGCAAAGAAAUGGGAUUGUUCUGUCACACUCUGCUGAGGAGGAGUCACUUCCACCAUUUCAUCAGAUGUCCACUGCUCUGUACACAGGGCAUGUUGGCUCCGUCUCUGCCCCUUGAAAGAACCCAUCUCACAACGUCAGCAGGUAGGAUGUGCUUCAGGACCCAGCCAGACCUCUAGGCCUCUCACCCUCCCAAGCAAGACGUGCACGGGACACGGGUUAAAAAAAUGGAUAUUCUCUGUCCUCUGGAGGAAACGGGCUGUCUGUGCCAGAGGCCACGCUUUCAGGCUGUUUGGAGAUACACAACUGUCACCUUCUCCCCUAACAGGCACCACAGACACAAUUAUGGCUGACUGAAGUUAGUUGUUUUUUAAGAAUCCCAUUGUCAGCAAAACUAAAGAUUGAUGUUGGUGGGGAUUGGUCUUACUUUUGACAUUCCAAAGACAAAGGAAUACCGCACAUGAUUGACUCUUUUAUAUACAUUUUUUGAAACAACUUUCUUAGACUUGACAAACGUUAGUACCAGAAGAGAAUUUAGUCUCAGGUUUGUCACUAAUGAAAUGACCUCAGCUCAAUGCUAUUGUUGAGUUUUUGAAACUUUGUUCCUCAUAGGAACAGGGAAAUAACAGGGAAAUAAUUUCCCAAAUCAGGGAAA